GUUUUCGUAGCUCAGUUGGUUAGAGAACCGGCUUUGCUGGAGGUCAUGAGUUCAACUCUCGUUGAACGCA
rnacentral:tRNA from 1 species